GAAGAAGAAGAAGAAGAAGAAGAAAUGAUCACGUCACGUAGGGGGGCUAUCUACUUGAUCGGAAUGCACAUCGUGCCCAACAUCGUUGGAGUCGCCCGUUUCUCCUACGGUUUUCACCGGACCUCAUCGGCGCGUUUCGGGCUCCUGCUCGACGCAUUGCUCGGUGUCGAGUCCGUCGUGAAUAUCGUCAGUGACGUCAUAGUGAUGCUGCUUCUUUGGAGAGUGG
rnacentral:lncRNA from 1 species